CUAGCACUCCACGGGAGCCCGAUAUCGGGCUGAGAGGGCGGGCUCGUCCCGCCGACCGUUGCACCUGAUCCGGGUCAUGCCGGCGGAGGAAGAAGCACG
rnacentral:ncRNA from 1 species